GGCCGCGUGGCCUAAUGGCUAAGGCGCUAGAUUUCGGUUAACUUGAGCAAUCGUUCCCUCUAGAGAUUCCAGGUUCGACUCCUGGCGUGGUCG
rfam:Tolypocladium ophioglossoides CBS 100239 scaffold_29, whole genome shotgun sequence.